UACGUAGGGUGCGAGCGUUAAUCGGAAUUACUGGGCGUAAAGCGUGCGCAGGCGGUUCGUUGUGUCGGUGGUGAAAUCCCCGGGCUUAACCUGGGAAUGGCCAUGGAAACUGGCGAACUGGAGUGCGGCAGAGGGGGGUGGAAUUCCUGGUGUAGCGGUGAAAUGCGCAGAUAUCAGGAGGAACACCGAUGGCGAAGGCAGGUCUCUGGGCCGAUACUGACGCUGAGGAGCGAAAGCGUGGGGAGCGAACAGG
rnacentral:rRNA from 1 species